GAGAGCUCAGAGUGUCUGGGAAAUGCCUCCUGAACCAGUCUAUGCAAACGCCCAUUGAGUGAAACAUCUCUAGAGUUGUUUACAGUUUCUGAGAUGCUGAAAAGGCAAGACAGAUGUCGACCUCUCUCAGAUUAUCCUGUUCAAUACACAUCCCUGAAGCUCUGGUACUGCCCAUUGCUGGAGAGAAGAUAGUGGACUAGAUGGACAAUUGGUGUGACCCAGGAUGGCAGUUACGUUCCUAAACAGAACCUUCUGUAUAUUAAAGCUGAUGACACCUGCAGGCAGCUGACGUGUGGCAGUGUUCCUCUUUCCCAGCAGGAGCCAGCAGAACACUUGAAAAUAAUUAAUUGAGAGCCCAUAGCCAUCCUUUUUCAUCUUGCCAACCAUCUUGAUGGAACUGCAGAAACCGGAAUGAAGAAUAAUUGGGCCUAAGUUAAAUGUAUUCUAAAUAAAAACAUUAGAAAAUGUGUGAGUAAAGCGGAACAGCAGGUUUCAUUAGUGGCUUAUAAACAACACUGAAACCUGGAAGUGACAAUUAACAGCCACCCACAGCUUGUUAAGUCCAUAAUAAAAGGUUACAAUUCAUACAGCACCAUCUGGAAGGGAAAAUGAAAUCAUUACCCAAUAAUACAUACUUUUAUUAAUAACUUUCUAAUAGAACCUCUCUAGCAAUUACAACAGAGAAGAGCAUUUCUUCAUCUCAAACUUGAAAUAAUUCAAGCUUUCCCUUCCUUUGGCUUGGUGACCCUACCAGAAAAUUGCUUCCUGGAUUAAAGAUCUUGCUCUGAAUCUGUAUGGUAGAAUUGAUCCUGGGCACUAUUGAUGGCCCACAAACAGCAGUCCAGCUGCAGCUUGACAAAGGGCAGCAAGAGAGAUUAGCAGUUAAAGGACAGUUGAAGAGUUUGUUUUAGGAGAUAACAGCAGAUGCCCUCAAGGAUCCUUGUUUACAGCUGUGAUGUGGCAGCCCAUAUUCUUCACAGAGUUAUGUCAUAAUUAUAUCAUCAUAAUGUCUUUUAUGUGAGGUAGGUCAUGUAACAUAUCAUUGGAAAAGUUAUGAUUUACCGAAUGUGAUUAUACUGUGUGUUAGCAUGUAUUAUUUUUUGUGUCUGCACUCAGGAAUAUUGUCUAAUGUAUCAAUUACAAGUGUGUACAUGCAAGAAAUGUUCACUAGGCAAUGUCUGUUUAGAUGGCCAGCUGGGAAAGACCCAUUCAAGUCAAUGGACUAUUAUGAGAAACCAGGAGGUCUUAGAAGAUGCUUAUCUCCCACUGGGAAACUUUCUUGAGGAUGCCUCUGACUCAUGGCUGCUGUGCCCUACAGAGACAUGUGACCAUGUCACUUGAUAAUGGACUCCAUCUUGGAAUACCAAGUGUUUUUCCACAGUCUGAGUGUCAGAACUGGGACACAAAGGGUUCCCACAAUAUGCCAAAGCUAUUUAAGGCAAAGGAGAGACAUCACUCGUGGUUCUUCACUUCUGCAUCCAAAAAGACUCCUAAAAAAACCUGAGGAAUAAAGACUUAACUUGGGGGAAGAGCUGAACCCAGGACAGAGGGAUCUUUAGCGUAUGAAAGGAAUAUCUGGAGUUUUUCAGUUGCAAGCAAGGGUAGCUGGCCCCUCAAGAAACUCUGUAAACUGCCUAAAUCAACAACGAGGUUGAGAAUCUGUUACACAUAGCUGAUCUCCUUAGUACAUUAAGCGUAGAAUGCAUUUUUGUUUAUUUGCUAGGUAAUCUGCUAUGAUCUGUUUGUUGUCACUUAUAAUUACUUAAAAUUCAUCAUGUGUAGUUAAUAAACUUAUUUUUGUUUUGCCAGUGUGUGGAAAUCCUAAAUCCUAACUUGAGUCAGAAAGCUGUUGCAUGGCUUCUUCCACAUUUGGAGAGAGAGCAGAGAGGUGGCGGUUGAA